AUGUACUUCAAUCUUUUAUUUUCAAGUUUUUCAUUGUACAGAUCAUAUCAACAUGGUAUUGUGUCAUUUAUUUAAUUGAUGUUAAUAGCAAACGGCCAUACUGUAAGUGCAGAUCUAGUACUGCUCCUAACUGGAAGGUCAAAGAAUAUGUGGUUUUAGUCAGCAGGUCAAAGGAUUGGUAGUGUGUGUGUGUUUAACAUAGAAAGUAACAGAAGUUUGUUAAAGUUGUACGUAAAUAAGUUGGGGAUUCACUAAAAGACACAGUAGGAGGAAUACAUUUUGGGAUGACGCUGUUUGCAAGCCGUGUGGUGAGUGCAGCGCUCACAGCAUGACUGUAACACUGCCAGAUUUAUGGGUCACUCUGCCACUGAGGAUAACUCCAAACAAAAUCUAUAUUUACUCAUAACACUGAAGUGAAAGGAAGAUAAUGGGUUUAAGAUAUUAAUCAUAUUCAUUUGGACAGCAAUGUGAAUGUUCUAUAUCUAUGCCCCCUAUACUGUAUGGUAACGUAUCGUCAUUACAGAAAGUGUUUAAUGUCUUUCAGGCAGUUGCAGAGAGAAAUCUAAAUGGUGCAUUGUUGUUUUCUUUCUAUGAACUCUGCAUGAUUUUAUUUAAUUACCAAAAAGGUUCAACGUAUUAUGUUGGGCUUGUUUUGUCCAAUGUUAUUUUCAGCCACGAAGCAAUGGUGGUAAAAGAGUUGUGAUCAGACAAAAUGAACAACUUUUGAGUACAGUAUGAUAUUUCAGCAACAGGUCAAAUUUAGUCUUGUUCAUCUUUCAACUUUGUUCAGGUUGUAAAUUAUCUGAAGGAUUACCAUAUUACUGAUGGUUUGUCUGCAUCGGUGUAAGCUUUUGGUUUCUUUGACUACUAUCCAUGUAUUCCAAUACCUUUUGAAAGUGCCUUGAAACUGCUUGUUUUGGAUGAAUGAAAAAUGAAGCUGCCCCGUUGGGACAAUGUUCUUUUAUCAGGUACUCUACUCUGCUUAAAUGAUUCUGUAUGUUGGCUUCCCCUCUUUAUCGCCACUCUAUAGCAAUCUCUAUUUAUGACCAAGUUUCUUUAUAAUUAGUCGGGUUGAACAAAUAAUUUGUUAAGAUGUUUAUAUUUUUUAUCUGGUGUUUAAGGAUACAAUCUGGUGAUUGUUGUGUGUAUAAAGAUUUGAAACUUUUUUUUUUUUUUUUUAAUUGCAGAGACUGUUUAUUUUUAUUUUCUGGCAUAGACUAAGAAGGAUCAAAUAUUGUUACAGUCUACACUGUCAUCACUUUCUCCAGCCAAGAUAGCAGCUCAGCGGAGUAUGUGCCAGUAAAAUAUUGCAAUACUUUUAAAAUACUAAUAUACACUGAUAAUUUGACAUGAAAGGCGUAACAAUAUUUUGUGUCAUAGCUUCAUAACAUGAAGAUGUAGCCUAAAUUGAUAAAAUGUGCUAUGAAGCCAUGCGACCCUCAGUGCAAAUAAAAGUUUUGUGUUGAAUAU